CUGAAAGAGAAAAAGUAAAGAGAAGUCACACUACAUCCUUAUAACCAUAUAGGUUUUGACAACACCAAAUUUCUAUACCCUAGUCAAGCCAAAAAAC